rnacentral:rRNA from 1 species
GUGGGGAAUAUUGGACAAUGGGCGAAAGCCUGAUCCAGCAAUGCCGCGUGAGUGAUGAAGGCCCUAGGGUUGUAAAGCUCUUUUACCAGGGAUGAUAAUGACAGUACCUGGAGAAUAAGCUCCGGCUAACUCCGUGCCAGCAGCCGCGGUAAUACGGAGGGAGCUAGCGUUGUUCGGAACUACUGGGCGUAAAGCGCGCGUAGGCGGUUUUUUAAGUCAGAGGUGAAAGCCCGGGGCUCAACCCCGGAAUUGCCUUUGAAACUGGAAAACUUGAAUCUUGGAGAGGUCAGUGGAAUUCCGAGUGUAGAGGUGAAAUUCGUAGAUAUUCGGAAGAACACCAGUGGCGAAGGCGACUGACUGGACAAGUAUUGACGCUGAGGUGCGAAAGCGUGGGGAGCAAACAGGAUUAGAUACCCCAGUAGUCC